CAUGGCUAGCCUACAACAAAAAAAAAACAAUCUUUUUUGUAAUUUCUAAGUUUUAAAUUUCAAAUCUCCUUCUUUUUUCAAGUUUUGAAAAAAUGUUGAUAUGAGCUAUGUCAAAUAUCAUUUCCACUUACCUUUUCUCCCUUCUUCUCACGAUCUCUCUCUCUUUGCUCUCCAUCCAUCAAAAGUUUGAAACCAUUGAUUUUUUUCUUUUAAUGGCCUCAUUUUCUCUCACAAAUCACAGUUCAUCGACCCUUUUGUGAUCUCAAAGGGGCUAAUAUGCAUGGUGUGUAUGAACUUUAAACAUAAAAAAUUCAAAAUUGCUCUUUUUCUCUCAACUGGAUUGAAAACCUUUUGUUUGGUCAAAAGGGUAGGACUCGAUCUAUCUAUAACUUUAUUUUGAAUCAAUUUGAAUGCACGUGGUUUGUUACCUGCAUAAUACUACAAGAGUAGUAUUUGUUUUGCCAUGUAAAUGAUGGCAUAGAAAUUUCCUAUAAACACAAAAGCAAAAACUUAUAAUACUUAUCGGCCUGUAAGGGCUUGGGUCUUUAAACUUGAUUUCUCAUUUUUUAUCUCUUUUUUAAGGGUUGGUUAUUUGAAGGGUUCAAGGCUUUUGAAAAAAUUUAAAAAAAUUAAGCAUUAUCAAUUAAUUAAAAUAUUUAAAAAUUAAAAAAAUUAAAAUUUUCAUAAUCUUUUAGAAAUUAAAUAACACACAUUUAAAAGUCUAGUAAUAAAAUUUAAAUCUUAGUUAAAAAAUAGUUCAUCUUUUAUAAAUACACAAACAUAAUAAUUAUAAAAAAAUAAAAAAUAUUAAAAAUUUUAUACUAUAAACUGAUAUUUAUAAAUUAUAUUAAAUUAAUUUUAGAAUAAAUUAAAAUUAAUAAUAAUACAAUGAUCAAGGCUUCAGGCAAGCAGGUUCUUGGCUUCAAACGUGUGUCACAAAAAAAAAUUAAUAAUAAUAUAACAAGACUUAAAGGACUGUUUAGACCCGACCCCCUUUUGUAUAGGGCUUAUUAGAGCAAAUCCUCAAGCCCGGUACUUUAAAAAAUUAUUUUUAAAAUCCAAACUCAUUUAAAUAGAACCUCCAAACUCACCACUUAUUUUUAGCUUUAGAUAGCAGCCACAAUAACUUCUUGGAGAUGAGAAAAAAAUUUAUAGUUAAAAGGACAGUAAGAGAUAAACAUGAGGAGUACAAAUUUUCACGAUUUGAGGCUAAAGCAUCUAGUCUAUGAUGGUCAACAUGUUUAACUUUUGGUCAUUCAUAGAUGUCGAAAAAAUCACUGGCGGAACACCAUGUUAUAUGACGUAUUCUUUUUAUAGUUUCGAUUUCUUUCUAAGGCUUUUCAUUUCAUUUUUCCCUUGAUCUAUUUGUUUUCUUUCAGACCCCAAAUAAAUUCCAUUUUUCCUCUUUUUAGGCUUGAAGGAAAUGCCUAAAAAUUCAUAGUAUGUGUUAAGUGCAAAGGGGUUUGUCAGACCCAAAUUCAAGGGUUAUAUGAAAAGGGGUUUGCCUCAACAAUUUUAUGGUUCUCUUGAUGCUUGCAUGGUAAAGUGCAAAUACAAUUGUUUGUUGGAAGAUUUUCUGGAGUUGCUGAAAGUUAGAGUUCUAUUUAGUUGCUUUAAUUAUACUUUCGAUUUCCAUAGUAUGUGUUCUAUGCUAUAUUUUGUCUCAGGGCUUACAUUAUGCUUUUUGAUUCUAAAAGUCCUCAUUUUUAAUUCCAAAGUAAUUCCAUUAAAGUGAAAUAUUUUCAGAGGGAAGUGAAUUGUUUUGUGUGUGGUUCAAAAUUUUUGCAUGGUUACCUUGAGGGAUUCUAAAAUGUCCCCAUUUUAAACUUUUUUUGUGUUACUUCAUUAUAGUUGGCCUAAAGAUUUUUAUGACUCUUAUCCAAAUAUUUGAAGGCCUGGCAACCAUAGAAGUAUUUGAAGGAAUGAAGUGGGAAGAAGAUAUUUAGGUUUGGUUGGGGUAUUAUCUUCUCCAGUUUGCAUUGAUUUUAGACCAGGAGCUGGAAUUCAUUACUAACGACAACAAUGUGACCGGACUUUGUUAAAAAAGAAAGGUAAAUUGUAAACUCAAAAGCAGGAGAGAGAAAUACUAGUAGAAGAUAGGUAGGACAAUGCUCUCUAACGUUAGCUUGCCAGAAGAACCUUGCUUUAAACCCCAUGAUCUCUAGGUGUGGGGUACUGACGCGGCUUUACUGACACAGAGGAGAGUAUAAGCAAAGGUAUGAAAUAUUAGUAAUGGUUGCCCUAUAAUACGUGUUGCGGUUGUUUCAUUUAUAUCGUUUACUGUGCAUUAUAUUACAUGUAGAGGUAUGAGAUGCUUACUCUAUCCUUGACAGUAGCUGACAUGCUCUGAUCUAACUUGUAUUUAAAAGAAGAAUGGAU